rnacentral:lncRNA from 1 species
AAAUCUUUGAAAUUUUAACACAAGGUUUAUGACCACAAAAGGAAGGUUGGGAUUGUUUUUGGGAGUUUUGGUCCCAACAUUUUAGGAAUUAGGGGCCAAAAAGGGCCCAAAUAAACAUUUUCUUGGUUUUCGCACCAUAACUUUAGUAUAAGUAAAUAGAAAUCUAUGAAAUUUUAACACAAGGUUUAUGACCACAAAAGGAAGGUUGGGAUUGUUUUUGGGAGUUUUGGACCCAACAUUUUAGGAAUUAGGGGCCAAAAAGGGCCCAAAUAAACAUUUUCUUGGUUUUCGCACUAUAACUUUAGUUUAAGUUAAUAGAAAUCUAUGAAAUUUUGACACAAGGUUUAUGACCACAAAAGGAAGGUUGGGAUUGAUUUUGUGAGUUUUGGUUUCAACAGUUUAGGAAUUAGGGGCCAAAAAAGGACCCAAAUAAGCAUUAUUCUUGGUUUUCGCACAAUAACUUAAAUAUAAGUAAAUAGAAAUCAAUGAAAUUUUGACACAAGGUUUAUAAACACAAAAGGAAGGUUGGGAUUGAUUUUGGGAGUUGAUGUCCAAAUGGUUUAGGAAUUAGGGGCCAAAAAGGGGCCCAAAUAAGCAUUUUUCUUAGUUUUCGCACCAUAACUUUAGUAUAAGUAAA